rnacentral:rRNA from 1 species
GAUGAACGCUGGCGGCGUGCCUAAUACAUGCAAGUCGAGCGAACAGAUGAGGAGCUUGCUCCUCUGACGUUAGCGGCGGACGGGUGAGUAACACGUGGAUAACCUACCUAUAAGACUGGGAUAACUUCGGGAAACCGGAGCUAAUACCGGAUAAUAUAUUGAACCGCAUGGUUCAAUAGUGAAAGACGGUUUUGCUGUCACUUAUAGAUGGAUCCGCGCCGCAUUAGCUAGUUGGUAAGGUAACGGCUUACCAAGGCAACGAUGCGUAGCCGACCUGAGAGGGUGAUCGGCCACACUGGAAUUGAGACACGGUCCAGACUCCUACGGGAGGCAGCAGUAGGGAAUCUUCCGCAAUGGGCGAAAGCCUGACGGAGCAACGCCGCGUGAGUGAUGAAGGUCUUCGGAUCGUAAAACUCUGUUAUUGGGGAAGAACAAAUGUGUAAGUAACUAUGCACGUCUUGACGGUACCUAAUCAGAAAGCCACGGCUAACUACGUG